GAACUUUCCUAAGCUAAUCCCUAACCUGAAAGUGUGGAUGAGAAGGGAAGAAAUCGUGAGGAAUAUAAUUUCCUAGUGGUAAUUAUUUCCCACCGACUCAGACGGAAGGACAGCGUGGAUGCCUGACAAAUACUGGUAAGGAGAGUAUGCCAAGUCAAGCAGAUGAGUCAGCACAGGCAACAUAAAGGCAGUGAUAUCCAGAAGUGCAGCUGGGAGGCUCAGAAAGAUAAAACAAAGUGAAAAUUUGGAAAAGCAUUUACUGUGCAAUGUGACCGUGUGUUCAGAGCUGACAUUACCAACAUCUGAUACUGAGGAAAGUGUCCUCCGAGGUGGACGCAUCUUUUUAGGGUGGAUGCAUCCA
rnacentral:lncRNA from 1 species